GUUCCUGUAGCGCAAUGGAUAGCGCGUUGGAUUUAUAAUCCGAAGGUAGUGGGUUCGAAUCCCACCUGGUAUA
rnacentral:tRNA from 1 species